UACGGAGGGUGCGAGCGUUGUCCGGAAUCACUGGGCGUAAAGGGCGCGCAGGUGGCGCGAGGAGUCAACGGUGAAAGCUCGGCGCUCAACGCCGAGUCGGCCGUCGAUACUCUCGCGCUCGAGCACUGUAGAGGCAGAUGGAAUUCCGGGUGUAGCGGUGGAAUGCGUAGAGAUCCGGAAGAACACCGGUGGCGAAGGCGGUCUGCUGGGCAGUUGCUGACACUGAGGCGCGACAGCGUGGGGAGCAAACAGG
rnacentral:rRNA from 1 species